AACCAUGUUUCUUGGAGUGCCAUUACAU
rnacentral:sRNA from 1 species